AGAGUUUGAUCCUGGCUCAGAGUGAACGCUGGCGGCGUGCCUAACACAUGCAAGUCGAACGAGAACGGGUAUUAGUUUACUAAUACUGUCAGCUAAGUGGCGCACGGGUGAGUAAUAUAUAGUUAAUCUGCCCCGAAGAAGAGAAUAAUUGUUGGAAACGACUUGUAAUGCUCUAUAUGCCUUUAUCACAUAAGUGAGCAAGGGAAAUAUUUAUAGCUUCGGGAUGAGACUGUACGGUAUCAGAUAGUUGGUGAGGUAAUGGCUCACCAAGUCUAUGACACCUAACUGGUUUGAGAGGAUGAUCAGUCACACUGGAACUGAGACACGGUCCAGACUCCUACGGGAGGCAGCAGUGGGGAAUAUUGCACAAUGGAGGAAACUCUGAUGCAGCAACGCCGCGUGGAGGAUGACACAUUUCGGUGCGUAAACUCCUUUUAUUAGGGAAGAUAAUGACGGUACCUAAUGAAUAAGCACCGGCUAACUCCGUGCCAGCAGCCGCGGUAAUACGGGGGGUGCAAGCGUUACUCGGAAUCACUGGGCGUAAAGAGCAUGUAGGCUGGUUUGUAAGUUGGAAGUGAAAUCCUAUGGCUCAACCAUAGAACUGCUUCCAAAACUACUUACCUAGAGUAUGGGAGAGGUAGGUGGAAUUUCUGGUGUAGGGGUAAAAUCCGUAGAGAUCAGAAGGAAUACCGAUUGCGAAGGCGAUCUACUGGAACAUUACUGACGCUCAGAUGCGAAAGCGUGGGGAGCAAACAGGAUUAGAUACCCUGGUAGUCCACGCCCUAAACGAUGCACACUAGUUGUUGCUAUGCUAGACAUAGCAGUAAUGCAGUUAACACAGUAA
rnacentral:rRNA from 1 species